ensembl:snRNA U2 U2 spliceosomal RNA
AUUGCUUCUUGGCCUUUUGGCUAAGAUCAAAUGUAGUAUAUAUUUAUGUCAAUUUAAUAUCUGAUACAUCCUCUACUCAAGGACAAUAUAGCAACUGGAUUUUUGGAGCAGGGAGUUGGAAUAGGAGCUUGCUCCGUUCACUCCAAAAAAAAAAAAAAAAAAAGAGAGAACUUUUGUACUUAAA